ACUUUACAAACCUUAUACACACUUCAAAAUCACUCUAAAAAUUCACAGCUUUGAACAGAAAGUUUAAGGGAUUCAAAGUGAGCUCUAACUCACUUCAUCAUCUAUUUUCUUCUUGUUUCCUUCUUUUAACACUUGGAUGACCUCUAGGAAGGUUUUCACAAGUUUGCUUGAGCAAACUAAGGUGAAACCUCACCAUUUUUGAGGUACAAAGUGCAUGUAAAAUUCUGCUCGUUUUUAUUUCUUUUUAUGAUCAUGUUUUGAUAGAAAACUUAGUGGAAUCUUGUUUCCAUCAAGCUCACAACUUAGUCCAUGGUUGUGGGUUUGUGUUUAGGGGUUUUCCAUUAAAGUUUUGGGUUCAAACACCCAUUUAAAUUCUGCUUAUACUUGUUAAAUUAAGCUUGAAUUAAUUAGUUUCAUUUCUUUAUUGUUCAUUCAUGACUAUCCUUGUUGUCCUUGUGACAACUUGUGCAUUGGUGAAUCUAUGAAAGAGGUUUUAAAAGGAAGAUUUAUCCUCCUACCUCUAUGCAUGACUUCUAUGAUAAUACUUGUAAUAUUUGUUGGACUAUAAUCAUACUAUAUACUAUAUAUAACAUAUAUAAAAUAUAUUAACCGAACAUUUGAUGGUAAUCAAGUGAUUAUCCGUCAUGGAACUAGGUUAUGUCAUCCAAGAACUUAGUUUUCUCAUUACGAUUCUAAUGGGUGUUACACCCAUGAAAUCAUUCUAAACCCUAUGGGUUUUUAUAGUGUCAAAAACGAGCACUAAGUCUAGAUGAUUACUUUCUUACAUAUAUACUUUGUGUAUUUUAAAUUCCGAAUCCCGACUCUAACCAUACCUUGAACUCCAACCCAAAUACAUUCAACCUCCCAAACUCAUUCCCUCGUCAACAAUUGGAUAAUCGGAAGAAUUAGCAAUUUUGUUUAGCGAUGAUGAUUGGUGAUGCAUGGAACCUAUUGUUGUUGUAUUUGGUUUCCAUGUUUGUAUUUGACUCUUUAGAAAGGAAAUGAAAAUUUAUUAUU
rnacentral:lncRNA from 1 species